CAGCCGCCGCGGUAAUACAGAGGGUGCGAGCGUUAAUCGGAUUUACUGGGCGUAAAUCGUGCGUAGGCGGCUUUUUAAGUCGGAUGUGAAAUCCCUGAGCUUAACUUAGGAAUUGCAUUCGAUACUGGGAAGCUAGAGUAUGGGAGAGGAUGGUAGAAUUCCAGGUGUAGCGGUGAAAUGCGUAGAGAUCUGGAGGAAUACCGAUGGCGAAGGCAGCCAUCUGGCCUAAUACUGACGCUGAGGUACGAAAGCAUGGGGAGCAAACAGGAUUAGAUACCCCGGUAGUCCCUGUCUCUUAUAC
rnacentral:rRNA from 1 species